GAUGAACGCUGGCGGCGUGCCUAAUACAUGCAAGUCGAGCGAACAGACGAGGAGCUUGCUCCUUUGACGUUAGCGGCGGACGGGUGAGUAACACGUGGGUAACCUACCUAUAAGACUGGGAUAACUUCGGGAAACCGGAGCUAAUACCGGAUAAUAUUUCGAACCGCAUGGUUCGAUAGUGAAAGAUGGCUUUGCUAUCACUUAUAGAUGGACCUGCGCCGUAUUAGCUAGUUGGUAAGGUAACGGCUUACCAAGGCAACGAUACGUAGCCGACCUGAGAGGGUGAUCGGCCACACUGGAACUGAGACACGGUCCAGACUCCUACGGGAGGCAGCAGUAGGGAAUCUUCCGCAAUGGGCGAAAGCCUGACGGAGCAACGCCGCGUGAGUGAUGAAGGUCUUCGGAUCGUAAAACUCUGUUAUUAGGGAAGAACAAACGUGUAAGUAACUGUGCACGUCUUGACGGUACCUAAUCAAAAAGCCACGGCUAACUACGUG
rnacentral:rRNA from 1 species